rnacentral:misc_RNA from 1 species
GUAAAAUGCGAUACAUUACGCGAGAUGCACAGCUCGAGCGUUAAGAUUUCCAAUGCACAUUGCUCCGAAAGCGCUAGAUAGCGGCAUUCGGACCGUCUGGCUCAGGGUUAUUUCACAAAUUCGUCGAAAUGUCGAAUACUUGAAAGCAUAUACAAUUUGGAAUGCAAUGACCACUCGAAAAUUGUUUUAUGCAGUGAACGCAAUUUGUGCAAGAGUAGAAUCCUUAAGGCAUAGAUUUGUCGAAAAGGGUUAAGUUUGCCAAAUCACCUAAUUAACCUGAGCUCAGGCGGGAGCACCCGCUGAACUUAA